GUCCACAGACAAAUAGCCACAAUGUCCUCAUAGUCUUCUGGGUUUAUCAACAAAAAAUGGUGAUUCCUCUCAUGAGGACAAUCCGAUCUCCGUCAAGCCCACAAGCUUGCAAGGGUUCCCCCAUGUGCGAGCGUCAAAUCUCUACGGCGUGAUCACCGAAGGUGGUUGGAGUGUCAUCGGCGGCAACUGGUUUUACUGCAGAAAUUUUGGGGAUCGGAGAACUGGAUUGAGUCGUGCUAGAAAUUUGUGGUGUCUUUGUACUGUUCAGAAUUCCUUCUUGAUUCGUAGGGGAACACAGAAGAUCUUUGUCUUCUUUCACCAAGAUAAUUGGAUCAUCUUGCUAGAGGCCGUGAGUGACCAACCAUGCCACAAUGGGCAGCUUCUGAAGAAUGUCUCUAACAAGUGAAUAACGAGGGAAUAAUUUAUACAAUCUAGAGGGCGGACAGGAUCUUCCUAUAAAUACUGCAAUUGAGGAAAACUAUUUCAAACCCUUCCUCAUGGAAAUAACUCAGAUAUGGGUCUAUCUUUGAGGUUUUUAUAUUGUAGAUUCAUUAAGUUCUACGUUGCGUGAUUAUACGAUGUUUUGGAAUUCUAAGUUGGAUGCUGUUAAAAAUUUUAAUAUUGAUGUGAAAGAAGAUUAGUAUAUUUAAGUUUGUCCUGAUUUAGCUGAUGCCUUGAGAAGACAUGAUGAUGGUUAGAAUCAAGAAUGACUUUUAUGGGAGUGUUUGAUCUUUAGAUCAGAUGGCACCAUUCUUCUCUACUUCAGACUGUCAACUGAAUUUGGAACCAAACCACCUGUGGGCUAAAAUCUUAAAGGGGGUUUCAUUUCCGAAGAGUGGUUUUGAUGAGGCUUAAAAAAAUGGAGUAGGCCGUCCCGGAUUUGGUCUAGCAUUAUUGAGGGAAGAAGAGUGUUAUAGAAGGAAAAUAAGAAGUCAAACCCAUCAAUUUUAAACUAAAUAGAUUUGGAAAAUUCGUAUUUGUCGACGAAGAACACUAAUUCCGCAAAGGACCACCCGCUGCAGACUGAGCUAGAUCAUGCGAAAACAUGAAUGAUAUUUGUAAGAGAAAAUUGCUGAUCCAGUGGAUUUGACCAAUUACGAAGUGAGCAUACAUCAUACUAUUUCUCUCUCUCUCUCUCUCUCUCUCUCGCUACAUGCACAUACAAAUAAACUUAUGCACACACAUCACACUCUUGAUUAGGAUGGCUAAUUCACUGUGAUAAAAUUCAGGUGCUGCAAUGUACAAAUUGAGGUUAAUUACUUGAUAGAAAGGUUCAUUUCUAAAAAAAUUUGAAAGUCACGUUGCACACCAAUAAGUCAAACAAGGAAAUAUAACCCUUAUAAUAAUUAUGUGAGUUGGGUUGGGGAAUUUGCGGAAACCGAAUCAAUCAACUUUGAAGGAAGAGUGUUAGAAGGCAAUGUUAUUCUCAGCAUUGGUAAUGGAAAGGCCACUCGUUUUUGGAAAGAUCCUCGGCAGCCAAGUAAGCACCUAUUUUCUCUUAUUUUGUCCUUUUAAGGAUUUGAAAAAUAUGCCAUUUAUGGCUGAAGUUUUAAAGAGACGAGGGUAUUUAUGACACUAAGAUUGCUGUGUGUUUAUUCUUCUACGCCAAGGAGAGAAGAUAGAUGGGUAUAUAGACAGGGUUUGCAUCAUAUAAAGUUCACCUAGAAUAAUGGAAAAUUAUUUAGGACGGCCAACUAUCUUGCUAAGUUGGCUCUUAGUCUUCCCUAUGAUUUUAACCUUUUUGACCAAUCACCUACUUAAUAGGUUUGGGUAGUUGUAGUUUUUUCUUUUUUAGAUGUUCAAUUGGUUUUCUU